UAACCUGCCUGGUAGCGGGGGAUAACUAUUGGAAACGAUGGCUAAUACCGCAUAAGAGUAGAUGUUGCAUGACAUUUGCUUAAAAGGUGCAAUUGCAUCACUACCAGAUGGACCUGCGUUGUAUUAGCUAGUUGGUGAGGUAACGGCUCACCAAGGCGACGAUACAUAGCCGACCUGAGAGGGUGAUCGGCCACACUGGGACUGAGACACGGCCCAG
rnacentral:rRNA from 1 species